rnacentral:rRNA from 1 species
UACGUAGGGUGCAAGCGUUUGUCCGGAAUUAUUGGGCGUAAAGAGCUCGUAGGCGGUUUGUCGCGUCUGCUGUGAAAACUCGGGGCUUAACCCCGGGCCUGCAGUGGGUACGGGCAGACUAGAGUGCGGUAGGGGAGACUGGAAUUCCCGGUGUAGCGGUGAAAUGCGCAGAUAUCGGGAAGAACACCGGUGGCGAAGGCGGUUCUCUGGGCCUUACCUGACGCUGAGGAGCGAAAGCGUGGGGAGCGAACAGG